CUGACUCUUUGUGACCCCAUGGACUGUAGCCCACCAGGCUCCUCUGUUUGAGGGAAUUCUCCAGGCAAGAAUACUGGAGUGGGUUGUCAUGCCCUCCUACAAACUACUAGGUAUAAAAUAAAUAAGUAACAAACAUGUAGUGUACAACACAGAGAAUAUAGCCAAUAUUGUAUAAUUUUGUAAAAUGUAAUAAAAUUUUAUUUGAGGCAUAUAAUCUAUAAAAAUAUCAAAUCGCUAUGUUGUAUGCUUGAAGCUAUGUAACAUUAUAAAUCAACUAGGCUUCAAUUAAAAAAUAGGAAAAACUGGUUGUUGCUGGGAACCAGGCCUGAUGCCAAGGGUGCCUUGAGAGGGGUCCCUGCAGCCUGUGGGACCCUUGCAGAGAAGGGGCUCCUCCUGGGAGUACAUGUGGCAGGGGACACAGCCCAGAAGACCCCUGAGGGCUGAGGGCUGGGAAUACCAGUUGUGACAGGAGCUAAUCAGACCCAGAGCCCCUGUUUGAUAAUAGGGCAUUUGUUAAAAACUCUUUUUCUAUCUCAAAAUGAAUGGUUAAUAGAACCUCCUUCACUCGAAGCUCAUUUUUACAUCUACAUGAUGGAUGAUACCAUGGAUGGGUGAUUCCAAUGCCCCUCUGCUCAAAGCCACCAGGAAUUCACCUGCUUCAGUGUGGAUGGACAGAGCUGAACAUGAACAAAAAGGUGCAAACAGUGAAGACAAAGAGGCAGAAGACCUAUCUGGUCAGAUCUCCCAUGGAAGCUCAAUGAAAAGGAAAGGGUGUUUGUUCCUUUACAGUUUUGGGCGUGGCUUAGGAGUUGCUUUGCCCGGAGAUGUGGAAUUAACCAGGCAACAAGACCUGAGAUGGAGACUCUGCGGGUGGAAGAACAGGGGUCAGCAGCUGCUCUCUUCCUCCUCCCCCCAAAACUCAAAUAAAACACAGAGAUUUCAACCAGUCUAAUAAGACUACGGAGAUAAGAUCUACUUUUCCUUUUUUUUUUUUUUUGCUUGAAUUUUAAAACAACUUCUUAUGAUAAAAUGAAAUCUAUCAGAACUCCUUGAGGAACUCACAUGGCUGGCUGCACUUCAGGACUCAGGAGAAUCUGUCAGCCCAAACCCCUCAUUUCACAGAGGAAGCAGCCCAGGCCCAGAAAGGUGAGGUGAGAGUGCAGAGCAACAGGGCUGGUGACUGGAAGAGCUGGGCCCUUCUCCCAUCAGCUCCCGUCACAUCCAGUUAAGUCUUUCCCAGCAUCAGGGCCUUUUCUUCGCAUCAUGUUGCCAAAGUAUUGGAGCUUCAGCUUCAACAUCAGUCCUUCCAGUGAAUAUUCAGACGAGGCUCAGCUACAAAAAACCAGAGAGUGGGUCACUAGGUAAUGAGACCUCCAGAAGAGCUGAAAAACAGAACCACAUGCCUGGUCCAUCUGCAUCCGUAUCCUUUGGCUCAGAAUGUCCAGCCCAACGUCUGUCUGAAAAGCGACAUCAGGCCAGAGGAAUGCGAAAGCUG
ensembl:lncRNA